rnacentral:rRNA from 1 species
UACGUAGGGUGCGAGCGUUGCCCGGAUUUAUUGGGCGUAAAGGGCGCGUAGGCGGUCACGCACGUCCGUUGUGAAAUCUCCCGGCUUAACUGGGAGGGGCCGUGCGAAACUGCCGGGCUUGAGGUCGGAAGGGGAAAGUGGAAUUCCGGGUGUAGUGGUGGAAUACGUAGAUAUCCGGAGGAACACCAGCGGCGAAGGCGGCUUUCUGGUCCGAUACUGACGCUGAGGUGCGAAAGCGUGGGGAGCGAUCCGG